rnacentral:rRNA from 1 species
UAGCAUAUCAAUAAGCGGAGGAAAAGAACCAACAGGGAUUGCCUCAGUAACGGCGAGUGAAGCGGCAACAGCUCAAAUUUGAAAUCUGGCUCCUUCGGGGUCCGAGUUGUAAUUUGUAGAAGAUGCUUUGGGUGUGGCCCUGGUCUAAGUUCCUUGGAACAGGACGUCAUAGAGGGUGAGAAUCCCGUAUGUGACUGGGUGCCCACGCCCGUGUAAAGCUCUUUCGACGAGUCGAGUUGUUUGGGAAUGCAGCUCAAAAUGGGUGGUAAAUUUCAUCUAAAGCUAAAUAUUGGCCAGAGACCGAUAGCGCACAAGUAGAGUGAUCGAAAGAUGAAAAGCACUUUGGAAAGAGAGUUAAACAGUACGUGAAAUUGUUGAAAGGGAAGCGCUUGCAAUCAGACUUGCGCGCCGCUGAUCAUCCCGGGUUCUCCCAGGUGCACUCGGCGGCGCUCAGGCCAGCAUCGGUUCGGGUGGUGGGAUAAAGGCCUUGGGAAUGUAGCUCCUCUCGGGGAGUGUUAUAGCCCUCGGUGCCAUGCCGCCUACCUGGACCGAGGACCGCGCUUCGGCUAGGAUGCUGGCGUAAUGGUUGUAAGCGACCCGUCUUGAAACACGGACCAAGGAGUCUAACAUCUAUGCGAGUGUUUGGGUGCUAAACCCAUACGCGUAAUGAAAGUGAACGUUGGUAAGAACCCUUUAGGGUGCAUUAUCGACCGAUCCUGAUGUCUUCGGACGGAUUUGAGUAUGAGCAUAGCUGUUGGGACCCGAAAGAUGGUGAACUAUGCCUGAAUAGGGUGAAGCCAGAGGAAACUCUGGUGGAGGCUCGCAGCGGUUCUGACGUGCAAAUCGAUCGUCAAAUUUGGGUAUAGGGGCGAAAGACUAAUCGAACCAUCUAGUAGCUGGUUCUGC